AAGAGCUGGUUGUUGGUGAAUGUGAUGCCUGGUAGAAGAGGCUCCUCAAGUCCCUGCCUUCUGUCAUUUAUCCAUUUCCUGUAAGCCUGGUGAGAGAAGAAGAAGAGAUGAGUCUCUGCAACGGAGCCCCAUUUACACACAGCAUUCACAGUGCCCCAGGAGCACAGGACUCCAUCAGGCCCAUAGUGCAUGGGAGUUCAGCGAGAUGCCAAACAAAUACAAGAGACAGGGUUUCGGCAUGUUGGCCAGGCUGGUCUCGAACUCCUGACCUCAAGUGAUCCACCCACUUCAGCCUCCCAAAGUUCUGGGACUACAGGCGUGAGCCACCAUG